rnacentral:lncRNA from 1 species
UUUUUACCCGUUAGAUCAUACUAUUCAACCAACCACCCACUCAACCAUAGGGGGCCUACAUCAUUCUAACCACACAUCUCUUAAUCCAAUGGCCAAAAACUUGGUAGCACCAACGACUUGGUGCUAUUAAUAGCUUAGUAGCCUAAUUCUAUAUAUAUAUAUAUAUAUAUAUAUAUAUAUAUAUAUAUAUAUAGAGUUAGGCUGGUAUACUAUCGGUAGCACGGAGUUCUCCGUGCUACCAAGUUGUUUUCAAUGAUGCGGCUUUCAAAUCGACGAUCGGCUCCGUUAGACUUGAUCUACACUAUUAAAAGUAUUUGAAAACUAAAUUUCAUAAUUUUUCGACAUCAUUUGGCUAGUGAUCAAAAGGUUCCAAAAUUAACAAUUUUAAUGGUAGAUAUGAUGCGUUUUUAAGUUCAAUGGUGUAGAAGUAUCCAAAUUAGAUGAAAAUUUAAUAGAAAAUUCUACUUAACAUCAAUAGCAAGACCAAUACUUCCGAUUUGAAAUUUGAAUUCUUUAUCAUUGUUUUUUAUGAGAUUUUUAUUUUCAGCCGUUCAUUUUUAGACUAUUCGUUUGAUUGGUAAAUGACGCCCAAAAAUUAUGAAAUUUAGUUUCCAAGUACUUUCAAUAGUGUAGAUCAAGUCUAAUGGAGCCGAUCGUCGAUUUAGAAGCCGCAUCAUUGAAAACAACUUGGUAGCACGGAGGCCUCCGUGCUACCGAUAGUAUACCAGCCUAGCUCUAUAUAUAUAUAUAUAUAUAUAUAUAUAUAU